rnacentral:rRNA from 1 species
UUGGAGGGCAAGUCUGGUGCCAGCAGCCGCGGUAAUUCCAGCUCCAAUAGCGUAUAUUAAAGUUGUUGCAGUUAAAAAGCUCGUAGUUGAAUUUCGGGAUCAAUUUGUUGGUCGUGCCUCGGUACGUACUGGUAUUAUUGGUUUCUACCUUCUGAAGAACCUUGAUGUCAUUAAUUUGGUGUCUUGGGGAAUCAGGACUGUUACUUUGAAAAAAUUAGAGUGUUUAAAGCAGGCAUACGCUUGAAUACAUUAGCAUGGAAUAAUGAAAUAGGACGUUUGAUUCUAUUUUGUUGGUUUCUAGGAUCGACGUAAUGAUUAAUAGGGAUAGUUGGGGGCAUUAGUAUUCAAUUGUCAGAGGUGAAAUUCUUGGAUUUAUUGAAGACUAACUACUGCGAAAGCAUUUGCCAAGGAUGUUUUCAUUAAUCAAGAACGAAAGUUAGGGGAUCGAAGACGAUCAGAUACCGUCGUAGUCUUAACCAUAAACUAUGCCGACUAGGGAUCGGAUGAUGUUAUUUUUAAUGACUCAUUCGGCGCCUUACGGGAAACCAAAGUGUUUGGGUUC